rnacentral:rRNA from 1 species
AUUGAACGCUGGCGGCAGGCCUAACACAUGCAAGUCGAGCGGGGCGGCCGACGGGUGAGUGAUGCCUAGGAAUCUGCCUGGGAGUAGGGGAUAACGUCCGGAAACGGACGCUAAUACCGCAUACUAUCAGAUAAGCCUAGGUCGGAUUAGCUAGUUGGUGGGGGAAAGGCGUACCAAGGCGACGAUCCGUAACUGGGCUGAGAGGAGGAUCAGUCACACUGGAACGGAGACACGGUCCAGACUCCUACGGGAGGCAGCAGUGGGGAAUAUUGGACAAUGGGCGAAAGCCUGAUCCAGCCAUGCCGCGUGUUUGAAGAAGGCCUUCGGAUUGUAAAGCACUUUUAGCUGGGAGGCGUUACCAACAGAAGAAGCACCGGCUAACUUCGUGCCAGCAGCCGCGGUAAUAC